AGAACGAACGCUGGCGGCAUGCCUAAUACAUGCAAGUCGAACGAACACUUCGGUGUUAGUGGCGCACGGGUGCGUAACGCGUGGGAAUCUGCCCUUGGGUUCGGAAUAACAGUUGGAAACGACUGCUAAUACCGGAUGAUAUCGAAAGAUCAAAGAUUUAUCGCCCAGGGAUGAGCCCGCGUAGGAUUAGCUAGUUGGUGAGGUAAAGGCUCACCAAGGCGACGAUCCUUAGCUGGUCUGAGAGGAUGAUCAGCCACACUGGGACUGAGACACGGCCAGACUCCGUACGGGAGCAGCAGUACGGGAAUAUU
rnacentral:rRNA from 1 species